UCUUGUAGAUGGGAGUCACACUGGCAAGCCUCCAGUCUUCUGGGACCUCACCCAUCAACAAGGAGUGCUGAUAGAUGAUGGAAAGCGGCUCGGCUAUCACCUCCACCAGUUCCCUCAGCACUCUCGGGUGAAUCUCAUCUGGUCCCAUGGACUUGUGGCAGUCCAUCUCUCAUCUCCCAGCUCUCUUAAAUAAAGCCAAUCCUAAAUGCUGAGAUCAACACAUCCAGAAAGAAAAAUAAAUAAUCCCAGAAGCCAGAAUUUCUUUUCAUGUUUUCUACAUCACAGAAUCAAAAAGACCUUUGCUUUGUGCAGGAAAAGAACAAAUCAGGAACAGCUUCAGCAUCUUACCUGAAAGCAAGCAGUACAUCUUUAUAGAUGGAUUUGAACUGAAGCCAGUGAGACAUGAACAAGACUGUCAGCUUCAUCUAAAGAAGUGACGUUAGUAUUCUGAGAGCAACUGUGUAAAUUAAGAGUGUAGGACACCAGUGCUUCCAGGCAGAAGAAUCCAGAUGCACUUUUUGAAAUUAUGAGUACCACAGUAUAACACAGUCACUCUGCUGUGAAUCCUGAGGAAAUAUUCUCUAAAGGACCAAUUUGUUUAACCUAGGUGAGAAGCGUGACAGUGACAGUUACCAUAGGAUCUCAAGAACAGAAAUAACUGCUUGGAGUUCUGCAUUCCACUUAAAAAAGUACAAUUCUAAAUAUAUUCCUCAUACCUGUAUAAAUAUUUUUUUCACUAAUUCUUCCCUGUAAAAUUUAGCAGAUCACUUCAACAGAAAUUUUUUUUCUUUACUAAUGGAGAGUAGUUAAAUGUGUUUUAUCUAUCAAAAACAAAAAUCUUGCAUGACUUUUUUCUGCUUUCACAUCAAGUAUAACUACACCAACCUAACAGAGGUAAACUCAAAGGCUAAAGUGUAAUUUAUGAUCACUUCUGUAAUAUCCUUACUUUGGGUUGCUACUACUAGAUGUGACUACAGCCUGCCUUCUCCAUCUGUCUGCCAUCAACUUUGAUCAGCUGCUGAUAAAUGCAUGUAGCUUAGAUUAUUGACAGCUUACUCAGUUAUUAUUUCCACUCACCUCAGCAGAACUUCACGAACAGAGCUGGUUCUUGCAAGGAACAAAGUCUGAAUAAAUAUUAACCGUUAUCUCUGUAGAGGUAUGCUUAUUCCUCUCAACAUUUCACAAGUAGGAUAUAUUUCAGUCUUUUAUUCCCACACCAACAGGUAUCCAGCUACUGAAUAGACUGCUGUUUAGGGUAUGUCUAUACUACAGUCCAUAAGUAUAACUGCUGAUGAGGCCAACAAAAUUUAAUUUACUUUUUAGAGGAAUGGAAAGUGACAAAUGUGACAUCAAUUUUUGAAAGCUUUUCAAGCAUAAUCCUGAAAACAGCAGACUUUAAAGUCAGACCUUCAACCUUUGAAUUUGGCUUCCAAAAAGAUGAAGAUAAAAAUAAAUGAUCCCUCAGAUCAGUAUAAUCUACAGAGAAAUAAUCAACAUGGAUUUUGUAGCUGGAAGUCAUAGCUAGUAAAGCCACAAGCAAUACCUGACACCUAGUAUUGUGGUGAGCAUGAACUACCUAACACCAUUUAGUUGAAUUUCAGACACUGUCCCUAUCAAAACCAUUUACAAAGGAGUUAUACAACAGUGGAGAUGACAAGGCCAAGAAAUAACAAGUUAUUAAAAAUAGUAAGUGAAAUAUAGAAAGAAAUUUUUACUUUUGUCAAUGGGAAGAAUACCACAAGAUUGCUGCUUGCAUCUAUGCAUUUUUUUCAAUUAUAAAUGAUGGAAAGGAGGACAAAUAGGUGAAAAUAUUGCUGAUGACAUCAGGCAUCCAUGCAAAAUUGAAAAGCAGCAUGCAUUAGCUGCUGCUAAUGCAGCUAAUAAUUAGUGAUAUGACUGAAGAGGAACAGUUGCAAUUAAUAAAAUAAGAAAUAAGGAGAGAUUUCAUCAAAAUUAUCAAGUGGCUAGUUUAACAAGCAAAUAGAAAUAUGUUCACUUCUAAGCUUUCCAACAAACAGUUAAGUUU
ensembl:lncRNA